CUGGAACGCGCCCCAGGCGCACCCAGAAACCCUUUGUGAA
rnacentral:rRNA from 13 species